CCUACGGGAGGCAGCAGUGAGGAAUAUUGGUCAAUGGGCUUACGCCUGAACCAGCCAAGUCGCGUGGGGGAAGACUGCCCUAUGGGUUGUAAACCUCUUUUGUCAGGGAGCAAUUGGCGCUACGUGUAGCGUUAUCGAGAGUACCUGAAGAAAAAGCAUCGGCUAACUCCGUGCCAGCAGCCGCGGUAAUACGGAGGAUGCGAGCGUUAUCCGGAUUGAUUGGGUUUAAAGGGUGCGUAGGCGGAAUGCCAAGUCAGCGGUAAAAUCGCGGGGCUCAACCUCGCUCCGCCGUUGAAACUGGCGUUCUUGAGUGGGCGAGAAGUAUGCGGAAUGCGUGGUGUAGCGGUGAAAUGCAUAGAUAUCACGCAGAACUCCGAUUGCGAAGGCAGCAUACCGGCGCCCAACUGACGCUGAAGCACGAAAGCGUGGGUAUCGAACAGGAUUAGAUACCCCAGUAGUC
rnacentral:rRNA from 1 species